rnacentral:rRNA from 1 species
AGAGUUUGAUCAUGGCUCAGGACGAACGCUGGCGGCGUGCCUAAUACAUGCAAGUCGAGCGAGCUUGCCUAGAUGAAUUUGGUGCUUGCACCAAAUGAAACUAGAUACAAGCGAGCGGCGGACGGGUGAGUAACACGUGGGUAACCUGCCCAAGAGACUGGGAUAACACCUGGAAACAGAUGCUAAUACCGGAUAACAACACUAGACGCAUGUCUAGAGUUUAAAAGAUGGUUCUGCUAUCACUCUUGGAUGGACCUGCGGUGCAUUAGCUAGUUGGUAAGGUAACGGCUUACCAAGGCAAUGAUGCAUAGCCGAGUUGAGAGACUGAUCGGCCACAUUGGGACUGAGACACGGCCCAAACUCCUACGGGAGGCAGCAGUAGGGAAUCUUCCACAAUGGACGCAAGUCUGAUGGAGCAACGCCGCGUGAGUGAAGAAGGGUUUCGGCUCGUAAAGCUCUGUUGGUAGUGAAGAAAGAUAGAGGUAGUAACUGGCCUUUAUUUGACGGUAAUUACUUAGAAAGUCACGGCUAACUACGUGCCAGCAGCCGCGGUAAUACGUAGGUGGCAAGCGUUGUCCGGAUUUAUUGGGCGUAAAGCGAGUGCAGGCGGUUCAAUAAGUCUGAUGUGAAAGCCUUCGGCUCAACCGGAGAAUUGCAUCAGAAACUGUUAAACUUGAGUGCAGAAGAGGAGAGUGGAACUCCAUGUGUAGCGGUGGAAUGCGUAGAUAUAUGGAAGAACACCAGUGGCGAAGGCGGCUCUCUGGUCUGCAACUGACGCUGAGGCUCGAAAGCAUGGGUAGCGAACAGGAUUAGAUACCCUGGUAGUCCAUGCCGUAAACGAUGAGUGCUAAGUGUUGGGAGGUUUCCGCCUCUCAGUGCUGCAGCUAACGCAUUAAGCACUCCGCCUGGGGAGUACGACCGCAAGGUUGAAACUCAAAGGAAUUGACGGGGGCCCGCACAAG